UUAGGUUUCGAGUUCGAGUUCGAGCUUGAAAAUUUGAAACUCGCGAGUUUUCGAGUUGAGUCGAGUCGAGUUUGAGUAUGAGUUUUCGAGUUCGAGUCGAGUUUAGUCAAACUCGAACUCGACUCGCAUCAUUGUCAGCCCUAAUUACAUGGACUAAUUGGAUCACAAGUUUGAUAAUCUAGGUAUCUUCAUGGUACAAACUCGUGUUUGUAUACUCUUUUAGUAUCAUAUAUUCAUAUAAUUUAAGUUCUCCAUUGAUUUUGCGGCAGAUUAUCAAACAUUUAAUUGCUUUUGAUUGUUGAAUAAUCUCAUUGAAAUUUCAAUCACUAUGGGGUGAUGUGUGGCAUUUUUAGUACUGUAGGUUAACUUUCUUGUCAGAUAAUAUAGCUAGUAUUAGUAGAGUUUGGUUUUAUCUUUACUGUAAAUGUGCACAAUGACUUAUUCUUGGUGCGUGUUUGAUUUGUAACUACCUAAUUCCAUCUCCUCAAUUUACAAUUUUGUAUAAUUGUUUAAUUUUUUUCCUCUUUUUUUCUGGAUGAAUCAGAACAUGUGUUGCAAUAGCUGGUGUAAACUACUCUGUCAUCUCUGCUGAUAUUUCACUCGCGAUUAGUCCAAGAUUUGCAAGAUUUUUACCCCUUUUUUCUGCCUCAUAUUUUUGAACUUUACUGAUUUUUACUUCUUUCUAUCUGUUUUGAACUUUGAUCGAUUUGUGAUUGGAGAAUUUGAAUGCGUUUGUUGUUACCAUCCAAGUCCACCCAUUAAAUCAAAUCGUUAACACUAUACCCAUUUACAGCCCAACACAACAAUAUCCAUGGAUCCAAACCUAGAACAGCCAAGCCAGAAUUGCUAAAGAAUAUAAAAGGGUAAAAAUCCUAGUUUCUUCUCCUUUCUUUGCUAUAGCUUCAGCCGAUACCACCAUACCAGAUCAUCUUCAGCUCACCGCUGCACAACCAUGGGUAUCAAUUUGAAGGAUGGUGGCAAAAGCAAGAAAACCAAGUGCACUACGCCCAAAUCUAACGAUGUUUACCUAUAGUUACUCAUCAAGGAAAGUAUUAGCUGUGGAGUUGGUAUCCAUAUUUGUGGGAUUUUUGGGUCUUUUAAACUAUUUAAUGGGGUGGCCAGCCUCGAUGAGAGAAAAAGAAUUCUCAAGGGUGAAACUGAAUCCCUAAGUGCUGGGAUGCUUGAGCUUUAUAGAGAAAUCUCUUCCUCUCAGGUUCAACGACGCAAGAAGCGAAAUGAUGACCUCAACCAUUGGAUCGAUGAGGGUCAAAAGCUUGUGGAGGUAGCUCGAGGCUUGUCAAGCCAAUUUGGAAGAUGGAGGUGCUUCCUUGUGGGUCCCAAGAUAAGAUGGGAGCUCGAGGCUUUAUUGCUUUUGUUGAAGAUUUAUGUAGACCUUAUUCUUAUGUAUCUAAUUAUUUAUGUUUAUGCUUCAAUUGAGCAUAAUAUGCUUAAUAAAAUGAUUAUUGAUAUAUAUUAUUGAUUUUG